UUUUUAACAGUAAAAAAGAUACAAUUUUUAAUAGAAACGAUCAAUUUACUCUUUAAUCUAACUUAUAUAGAUUAAUUGGUUUCUUUUUUAGUAGAGGGGACAAAAUAUAAUCCAACACCUAACAUAGGAGCCUCUAUGGUAUUUUUAUCGGAAUUAGCUUACUAAAAAAUAAAAAUCAAUAUUUAAGAAUUAGAUAGGAAGUCGAAUAAAUUAAUUCAAC
rnacentral:lncRNA from 1 species